AAUUAUAUGAAAUUCAAUUAAAUUAUACAUUUUAAGUUGUAUCAUACCAAACAGUGGAGUUCACUUCAGAUGAAUUCUAGCUUAGCUAGAAUUCAUUUCAAUUUGAACCAAACACUCUGUAAGUUGACAUGCAACAAAAAAUCACAAGGUAUACUAUGGUAAUAAAUGGUUAGUUUGGAUUCUAGAAAUGUGAUCAAGUAUCCAUUUCACUCACAUGGCUGGCAACACAUAACAACUUUAAUGAAAAAAAAAAAUCCUAAUA
rnacentral:misc_RNA from 1 species